ACAUUUCGGGUAGCAAUAUUCGGAAUGUUCAGCGGCGCAAGGGUGCGUAACACGUGGGCAAUUUACCGUAAAGCUUGGGAUAACUCGCUGAAAGGCGAGCUAAUACCGGAUGUGAAAUUUGGGAGGCAUCUCCUGGAUUUUAAAGUUGGGGACCGCAAGGCCUGACACUUUAUGAUAAGCCCGCGGCCUAUCAGCUAGUUGGUGAGGUAACGGCUCACCAAGGCUAAGACGGGUAGCUGGUCUGAGAGGACGACCAGCCACACUGGAACUGAGACACGGUCCAGACACCUACGGGUGGCAGCAGUCGAGAAUUUUUCACAAUGGGCGAAAGCCUGAUGGAGCGACGCCGCGUGGGGGAUGAAUGGCUUCGGCCCGUAAACCCCUGUCAUUUGCGAACAAACCUUUGUACUUAACACGUGCAAAGCUGAUUGUAGCGGAAGAGGAAGGGACGGCUAACUCUGUGCCAGCAGCCGCGGUAAUACAGAGGUCCCAAGCGUUGUUCGGAUUCACUGGGCGUAAAGGGUGCGUAGGCGGUCAGGUAAGUCUGAUGUGAAAUCCCGAAGCCUAACUUCGGAACUGCAUUGGAUACUAUCUGGCUCGAGGAAUGGAGGGGAGACUGGAAUGCUCGGUGUAGCAGUGAAAUGCGUAGAUAUCGAGCGGAACACCAGUGGCGAAGGCGAGUCUCUGGACAUUUCCUGACGCUGAGGCACGAAAGCCAGGGGAGCAAACGGGAUUAGAUACCCCGGUAGUCCUGGCCCUAAACGGUGCACGUUUGCUGUAAGAGGAAUCGA
rnacentral:rRNA from 1 species